UACGUAGGGUGCAAGCGUUAAUCGGAAUUACUGGGCGUAAAGCGUGCGCAGGCGGUUGUGCAAGGCAGAUGUGAAAUCCCCGGGCUCAACCUGGGAACUGCAUUUGUGACUGCACGGCUAGAGUGUAUCAGAGGGGGGUAGAAUUCCACGUGUAGCAGUGAAAUGCGUAGAUAUGUGGAGGAAUACCGAUGGCGAAGGCAGCCCCCUGGGAUAACACUGACGCUCAUGCACGAAAGCGUGGGGAGCAAACAGG
rnacentral:rRNA from 1 species